ensembl:lncRNA
UCUCUUUCUCUCUUUCAGUCCUCCCCUCCACUUGUCUCAUCCCAAAUGCUUGCCUUGCAAGAUGCAGCUGGAAAGCUCACAUGACAAAAGGAUGAGGGCAGCCUCCAGGCAGUCCCCAACUGAGACCCUCAGUUCAAUGCCCUCAAGAAAGUGAAGCCUGAUGAAGCCACAUGAGUGAGCCUGGAGGUGGCUCUCUCCAGUGCAGCACUGAGGUAACACCAGCCUGGAUGACAACCUGGUCCCAGCCUGGGAAAGGCUCUGAGUCCAAGGACCACCUAAGUCAUGUCCAGAUUUCUGAUCCAUGAGAAAUGAGAACCUCCAUGACAUUGGGACCAGCAUCCUCUCAUUCACUCUUGUCUCUGCCAAAAUUGCAGCAGUGCCUUGCAUUUUGGAAGUGGCUGUUCCCGUUAAGAAAUGCAUGAGUGUAUCCACCCUCCCCUGCCCUCCUUCCUUUUCCUCCAAUAUUGUUUCUGCUGUGCCUGUAAAAGGAGCGGGGAUACUGAAGUACAAGAUCACAAUCAUGUUAUUAAAUUUCCUGGUUCUUUUAGGUAAGUGCUACAGGUUGAAUUGUGUCUUUCCCAAAGAGAUAGGCUGAGGUCCUAACUACUCCCCACCCCAUACCUCGGAAAGUGACCAUAUUUGGAAUAGGGUUGCUGCAGAGGUCAUUAGUUAAGAUGAGGUCAUACUGGAGCAGGGUGGGUCCCUAAUGCAGAGUAACUGGAGUCCUUUGAAGAAGACAGCCAGGUGAUGAGAGACAGCCACAGGGAAAGCUCCAUGGGAUGCCGAGAGCACAGGUCAGAGGGAUGCAGAGAUUGACAUCAAGCCAAGGAACGCCUGGGCCUCCUGGAAGCUGGACAAGGUGAGGAAGGAUUUUCCUACAGAUUUUAGAGGGAAUUUGCCCUGUAGACAUCUUGAUUUCAGACUUCCAGCCUCUGGAACUGUGAGAGAAUAGGUUUCUGUGGUUUUAAGCCACCCAGCUUGCAGUACUUUGUUAUGGAAGUGCUGAGAGCUGAUAUACUGCAAUUCUUGUGAGUUCUCCAAGCCCUAGAUCCUCAUCUAAAAAAUGAGAAUAAUGAGUCCUACUUAAAAAACAUUAACAAAAGUUAAAAGCAAACCCUCAUUAAAUUAAUGUGUAUUCUGCGCUAUGUUUCCUUUUCUAAGCACAGGUGAUUUGUUUAGUAAAACAGCAAUAGAUUGAUCUUUGUGUCCAUUUUGCAACUAACUUGUUCCUACUUUUCUCUUUAUUAAAACUAGCACGGAGGCACUCACUGACUGUACUCACCUCCAUUCACCCACAUAAAAGCCAACAGUUCUUACAUAUCUCAUUUAUUUUUGAUUGAUAUCCCAUCUACAUUCAGCAUGGAUUUGAGGCAGCUUAACGUCAACACAUGGAUACAAGUUUUAUGCAUUCCACGUAUGAGAGCGCUGCAAAGACAAGACAGUAAAAUACAUGAUAAUAUACGGUUAUGUGGUGUGCUGCACGCUGAAAGGGCAAUCAAUUUUUGUGACUCCACGUAUGAAGAUGUAUCUUUCUAAUACUGUGUGACUCGGGUUAUUUCAUUUAUUUAUUUCAUCAAUUUUGUUCUUUUGUUUUCCUAGCGAUUUCUAGGAAUGACAAACUGAUCAUGGUUUAAUACAAACUGUGAAUCUUGUCUUCUCCUGUGUGUGACUUACGGGGUAAUGAAUGGCGGGGGUGGGGUAACAUUUUGUGGACACUCUCCGGCUUUCUGUCUUCAGGCAGUGUUCUGUUCGAUGAAUCAGCUGCAGGUCACACAUCCAUUUCCGUUUAGCGGUGCGGACGGCCUGCGUAGUUCCUUGUCUGCGGGUCUACUCUCCAGCACUGCUCUGUUAAGUAACACAGAAGAAGCCCCGUAAUUGAAAGUUGGACAAAAGGGUUAGGGUUUCCCUCUUUUUAUUUCCUUUUUUUUCCCUACCAAUCCCUUCAAGGCCAAGUUCUAGUCAAAUCUCACUUAUCAUUUCACAAUUUUUUUUUUUUGGCUUUGCUGAUCAAUAUGAACAAGUGUUACGUUCUAUUAGUGGAAUAGUUUAUAGAUGAUACAUUACUUGGCUUAAAUGUAAUUAUCUUUCUCGUGGUUGAUUAUUUCAGCUACCUGGUGAGAAAGGUAGAGCUGGAAUCCUGAUUUUUAACUUUCUAAGAAGUUUUAAGGAGACCGCUGGCCUUUCCCAGGCUGCUGUUGCAGGAGGUACUUUUCCGGGAUACCAGGUACCUGCAGGCAGAUCCUAAGGACCCGUCAUAACGCUCACUCCAGCAGAUACUCAGUGCACACGUGUUUGCUCCUCUAAUCAGGGUUGUGGAUAGUGUGGGGGCAAGAAUGCAAAAUGGAGAUCUGGGCUAUGCUGAUUGCUCAUUAGCUCCAGAGGACAACUCUGUUGAUAUCCCUAAAGUGAAAAACGAGCCAUAAUUUCAUCAGUAAGAUUGUCAGAAACAUCGCAAAUGCUUUCUGAGAAGAGAAAACAGAAGGAAAUCCCAAAAAGUAGAGUGUUUGUCAUGGAGAAAACUGCCAUGUGAGGAACUUCGGUGGCAUGAGGGAAGACAACCACUUGUUCCAGAGGACAGGAGGAACGAGACUGUGUAAGUGCUGGCUGACAUUCUUCCCUUGGAUGGAAGUUACAAGACUAGUGAUUUGAUCUUUCCUUCCCUUUUUUUCCCCAAAAUCAACAGAGAUUUCAGCUUGUUUGCUCUCAGUUGAUGCUAUGAAGUGGAAUGCAUAGAUUAAAAGUUUAAGAAGGCAGGGGAUGCUGUGGCCUGCCUUCAUGUUGCAACACCUUUGAUUUCUGCUUUCUGCCUUGAACUCCCUACCAACCAAUGGAUAUCUCAGUGGCUAGUUCCUUGGUCUCCUGAAGGAAGUGCUAGGCAUGCGUUCCCAUUUCAGGCUGUGAGUGAGUGUCAUUAAUCUUGCUGCCACAGGCCUUGGGUCUGCGCUUGGGGUAAACAUGGAUGCUGGUGUGUCCUUGUAGCACAAGUCCCAUCCUUACCACUUUGUGUGAAAUAUUGACUUCAUGGGUCUGAGCAGAAAUAGUCCAGGGCCAGGUGAGCAAAAAUUGAAACAGGGAUCAGGGACAAGGCCGCAGGAAAAUUAGAUUUAAUAAGUAUGUGACAAUAUAGCAGAUAUUUUAUGAUAGAUCUGAAACUUAAAUUCCAUCUAUCAUUACAGCGUAUCAAUUUUUUUUUUUUUUUUUCUGUGAGUAUGUCUAUAUGUCAUCUGGAAGUACGGAGGGCAGCCCCGAAUGGCUGGGAUAACUGCAUUAGCUCUAAUUUACUUUUCAUAUGUUCAUUAAACCAGUUCAUUUCAACUGGGUAAGUGCCUGGCACCUGGAAUAUGAUGAUCUGAACACUGUGAAGUCUGUGCCUUAAGUAAUAUCUUGCCUGCUGGGCAUAGCUUUAGUUAUUUC